CGCCUCGACGACGAGGAGCUUGUCUCCUACAUACUGUCUGGUCUGGACGUCGACUUCAACCCGGUGGUCACCGCCGUCGCGUCCAGGGUCGAGCCGAUGACCGUGGGCGAGCUCUUUGCCCAGCUCGUUAGCUUUGAGA
rfam:Leersia perrieri chromosome 3, whole genome shotgun sequence.